rnacentral:rRNA from 1 species
GAUGAACGCUGGCGGCGUGCCUAAUACAUGCAAGUCGAGCGAACAGAUGAGGAGCUUGCUCCUCUGACGUUAGCGGCGGACGGGUGAGUAACACGUGGAUAACCUACCUAUAAGACUGGGAUAACUUCGGGAAACCGGAGCUAAUACCGGAUAAUAUAUUGAACCGCAUGGUUCAAUAGUGAAAGACGGUUUUGCUGUCACUUAUAGAUGGAUCCGCGCCGCAUUAGCUAGUUGGUAAGGUAACGGCUUACCAAGGCAACGAUGCGUAGCCGACCUGAGAGGGUGAUAGGCCACACUGGAGCUGAGACACGGUCCAGACUCCUACGGGAGGCAGCAGUAGGGAAUCUUCCGCAGUGGGCGAAAGCCUGACGGAGCAACGCCGCGUGAGUGAUGAAGGUCUUCGGAUCGUAAAACUCUGUUAUUAGGGAAGAACAAAUGUGUAAGUAACUAUGCACGUCUUGACGGUACCUAAUAAGAAAGCCACGGCUAACUACGUG